AAUCAAUCAACCAACCAUAGCUCUUUACUUCCUGUCCUUCCUUCUCUCCUCCCUUGUACUUCACAGACCCACCUUUGCCAUCAAAAAGUCAUAUGUGGUGUACUUGGGAUCACAUUCACAUCCCCCAAACUUAUCAGAACUUGAACUAAACCAAGUGACAGAGAAUCACUAUGAGUUUCUUGGGUCCUUCUUGGGCAGGUACUUCAACACAUUUUAGCACCAACAACUAAAAUACAUGAACACCAUCUUUCUGAAGUCAUAUAUUUGAAUUUGUCUACAAAAUGCAGCCAUGAAGUUGCAAAAGAAUCCAUCUUUUACUCAUACACAAGGCACAUCAAUGGCUUUGCUGCCACAUUAGAAGAAGAAGAGGCAGCUCAGAUAGCCAAGCAUCCAAAGGUAGUCUCCAUUUUCUUGAACCAGGGAAGAAAAUUACACACAACUAGAUCAUGGGAUUUCUUGGGACUUGAGCAUGAUGGUGUUACUCCACCCAACUCAAUCUGGAAGCAGGCAAGAAAUGGUGAAGAUACAAUCAUAGGAAACCUUGACACUGGUCAGUUUUUCUUCUUCUUCUUAUUUUAUUUAUUUAUUGGCAUAGGCAAGAUAUGGUAGAAAUGUACUGGUUUUUGGUUUUUGGAGUUGACAUCAAUAUGAGUGAUUUGCUGUAUUGGUUUUUGGUUCA